rnacentral:rRNA from 1 species
AUUGAACGCUGGCGGCAGGCCUAACACAUGCAAGUCGAACGGUAGCACAGAGAGCUUGCUCUCGGGUGACGAGUGGCGGACGGGUGAGUAACGUCUGGGAAACUGCCCGAUGGAGGGGGAUAACUACUGGAAACGGUAGCUAAUACCGCAUAACGUCGCAAGACCAAAGUGGGGGACCUUCGGGCCUCACACCAUCGGAUGUGCCCAGAUGGGAUUAGCUAGUAGGUGGGGUAAUGGCUCACCUAGGCGGCGAUCCCUAGCUGGUCUGAGAGGAGGACCAGCCACACUGGAACUGAGACACGGUCCAGACUCCUACGGGAGGCAGCAGUGGGGAAUAUUGCACAAUGGGCGCAAGCCUGAUGCAGCCAUGCCGCGUGUAUGAAGAAGGCCUUCGGGUUGUAAGGUACUUUCAGCGGGGAGGAAGGCGGUGAAGUUAAUAGCUUCACCGAUUGACGUUACCCGCAGAAGAAGCACCGGCUAACUCCGUGCCAGCCGCCGCAGUAA